rnacentral:rRNA from 1 species
GACGAACGCUGGCGGCGUGCUUAAUACAUGCAAGUCGAACGGUAAAGGCGGGGCUUGCUCUUGUGGAUGAGUGGCGAACGGGUGAGUAACGCGUAGGUAACCUGCCUGGUAGCGGGGGAUAACUAUUGGAAACGAUAGCUAAUACCGCAUAAUAGUACAUGCUGCAUGAUGUUGACUGAAAAGGUUCAAUGGCUCCACUACCAGAUGGGGCUGCGUAGUAUUAGCUAGUUGGUGUGGUAACGGCUCACCAUGGCGAGGAUACGUAGCCGAAGGGAGAGGGGGAGCAGCCGGCCUGGGACGGAGACACGGCCCAGACGCCUACGGGAGGCAGCAGUAGGGAAUCGUCGGCAAGGGACGAAAGUCUGACCGAGAAACGCCGCGUGAGUGAAGAAGGAUUUCGGAUCGGAAAGCUCUGUUGUAAGAGAAGAACGAGUGUGAGAGUGGAAAGUUCACACUGUGACGGUAUCUUACCAGAAAGGGACGGCUAACUACGUG